CCAUCCCUGCAGCAGUGCCUGCUCCUUGGGCCCUUGGAGGAGGGAACGGGGCUACCGAAGUGACCUGCCCUUGCCCCAAGAGUUGCAGAGAGUUGGGAAAAGCAGGGUCCAGGGUCAGGGCUCUCUGAUUCCCGGGCCAGGGCUCCACACGUGGCAUCCUGGGUGUUCGGGAGGAGGGUGACAAGGAGCUGCCUGCCAUCUCCCUGAGGAGCAGGGACAUUCUUCCAGCGAGUGGCAGCCUGAACAGGAGUCACUCAGAUGGGCUCCGGGAUGCCUAGAAGGGCUGGGCGCUCGCAGAGCACCCUGAGGGCAGGUCCCAGGAGGGGAACUGGGCCCACAGUGGCCAUACUGUCAUCCCCCACAUUCCCACUGGACACUGAGUUUUAACAGAACCAUAACUAAAUUUCCAUCACCAUAGAAUGUGUGGAUGCCUGGAUGAAUGAAUGAAUAAAUGAGUUCAAAUACAUCAUUUUAAAUGGAGUUCCAGAAAAGUCAAAUGACGUGGCCAAUGCCACACAGCUUGGGAUGUCUGAGCAGGUCCAAAGCCCAGGCGUCCACCACUAAGGCCCAGGCUCCUCCCCCCACCCCGCCCUGCCCCACAGAGCAUGGGAAAGGAGAUAGGAAAGGAAGAGGACAGCAUGGGCUGGAGGCAUCAGGGAGGGCUUCCUGGAGGAGGGGGACCCCAGACUGGGCCCUGAAGGACAGACCAGAGAAGAGCACGUGGGGGGAUGAAGCAGCUCCUAGUUUGCUGCCCCCAGUUCUUGAGGCCUCUGGGUCUGGAAUUCUCCAUGAGGAGGUUCAAGGUCUUCCUGGAGCAGGUGCCCCAGGAACCUCUCCCCAGAGCAGGUGGAGUUGAGUCCCGUCCAGGUGCUGCUGAACGGGAGCGAGGAGGGCAGCGUCCUUGCCUGUCUGCAGUGCGGGGACAGUGGUCUCACCCACGUCCCAAGGAGGCCAUCAGACCACGUUCCGUCAGCGCGUCAGCCCCACACACUGGGCGGCCCCAAUCCCGCAGGGACUCCUCUCGAGGGACACCUGCACUGCCUGGGGCCCUGACAUUUCCCUUGCAAAUCUCCCCGAGGGAACAGCAUCCCAGGGAGGAAGCCUCCCUGGACCCAGAACAUUCCAGCGCUCGCAGCAGAAGCUCAGGAAUACCGAAUGGGAGGAAGAAGAGGGGAACUAAGGGACCUCGCUUCAGAGACACCAAUGGAACCGAAGGCAGAGAAGCCAGUCGGAAAUGAGCAGGGUGUGGAGUGAGGUCAUCAGAAAAGAUUCAACCUUGAAAAUGGUCACACGGUGACCUAUGGCGUUUGCUUGAUCAGGAACAAAUUACUCCGCGCCCCAGGAAGGUCUGAGACUUUCGGGUGCAGAACGUUACAUUUCAUGCUGAGCUGGACAUGCCCCAGAUUCCAGGAGCCAGAGAGAAGGCCAAGCAUCUGGGCCUGGGAAAAAGCAGAGGCUCCCAUGUGGGGUCCAAGCACCUGCCCUGUCCUCCCAGUGUGAAUGUGGACAAAUUCCUGUCUUGGGGACAGCCCUCCUGUGUCCCAGGCUUGGAAGGCUUGGGGUGACAGAUGUAGGGCCCGGGAUACAGGGGGAACUCAGGAAAGCUCUCGGGAUGGAGGACAGCGGCAGAGAUGGGCCCCGGGCUCCGAGCUUUUGGAGGCACUGACUCACCUCCUCUCCCUCACUCCUUGCCGGACGAGCCCUGAGGAUUGGUGCUGCUUCACCACACACAGGAGAAAACAGGCUCAGAGAGGUCAAGUGCAUUGCCCAAGGGCACACAGCUAGCCCAGGAGAGACCAUGCUCUUCCCAUGACCCCAGGCUGCAUUUCUGGCUCCAAGACACCUUCUUCAGCCCAUGGGGUACCCCCGAGGGUGGAAAGGGCCUCCCAGGCCCUGACCCAUUCCUGCUCCAUGAUCCCUGUCAUUCCCUCCUCGCCUCUGGGGCUGCAGUGCCCUCCCCUGAAAAAAGGAGAGUAACAGCCCCCCAGGGUUGUGGUGCAGAGCAGGGAAGUCAUUUGCAUACCGGUGGCCUGCAAGGUGGGGGGGGCACCUGCUGUUCUCUCUGCAGGGAGCCUCUCCCGCCCCACCGCUCCCUCCCCCAUCUCCUUCCCGGGGUCCCCCCCCCCACAGCCUCCCCAGCUGGUUCUCUCCUUUAUAAUAUUUUGUGCUUCUCGCUUACUCGUGUUGUUUGGCCAUUUCCCCAGUAGCAGCCAAGAGCUCCCUGAGGGCAGGGGCCCC
ensembl:lncRNA